GAUGAACGCUGGCGGCGUGCCUAAUACAUGCAAGUCGAACGAGGUGCUUUUGUAGCAAUACGAGAGUAUCCUAGUGGCGAACGGGUGAGUAACGCGUUGGUGACCUACCCCAAAGUGUGGGAUAACAGUCCGAAAGGACUGCUAAUACCGCAUGUGGUCAUUGGCUUUAGAAACCGGUGACUAAAGGAGCAAUUCGCUUUGGGAGGGACCUGCGUCCCAUCAGCUAGUUGGUGAGGUAAUGGCUCACCAAGGCGACGACGGGUAGGGGACCUGAGAGGGUGACCCCCCACAAUGGAACUGAAACACGGUUCAUACACCUACGGGUGGAAGCAGUAGGGAAUAUUGCUCAAUGGGCGAAAGCCUGAAGCAGCAACGCCGCGUGUGUGAUGAAGGCCUUCGGGUCGUAAAGCACUUUUCUGGGAGAUGAGAAAGGACAGUAUCUCAGGAAUAAGUCUCGGCUAACUACGUGCCAGCCGCCGCAGUAACAC
rnacentral:rRNA from 1 species